UAGGCAUCCAAAGAAUAAGUCCUGGGGUCGAUUUGCUCGACUAAAGGCGGUGCUCCAGCAUGGCCGCAAUCAAAUGACUGAAACAAAUAAAAGAGAAUAGAUCAAACAAGCACCACACAGACAACAACUAAGUCCUACCGACAGUUUAAAUAUGCCUCCUUUCCAGUUGACAAACGAUAUCUCACGUGAUUAUUUUUUUUGACAGUGUUUUAUUUUAUUUUCGAUGCCAAAAUCCUUCGUUUUAUUUAUGUCGUUCACAUUUUAUUACUUCAGUUUGAAAAAAUAAUGAUAUUUUAGAUUGCAGUAUAAUUAAUAUGUUAAUAAAUUGACGGAGACUAGCGUUGGUGUCAAUGUAAAGAUGGCCGACCGUGAGCGUCGGUUAUCUAACGGGGAGGACGAGGUUUUAGAUCCCCGCAUACAGAUUGAACUUGAGCAACUAAACAAAGCCUCUGAAGAAAUAAACGCCUUGGAACUUGAAUUAGAUCUGGUUUAGGUCAUGUGCCAAAACCAUUAAUUGGAACAGGCCUCAUUUUUAUAUAGAUUAUAUUGAUCAUUCAUCAGACUGUUUCACAUCCACUUUACCAUAUUGGCAUGGGUCAGCUGACUCUGCAGAAUUGCUUCUCUCCAGCUGUUCCUAAUAUUACUUGCACUGUUUAACAUAGAAGAUUUAAUUGAUGUGUGAUUGUAUAAUACAUAUGCACAUGCAUGCAUACACAAACAUACCCAUACACACUCUCGUGCGCUCACACACACACAUAUAGCCUCUGUCUCUGUCUCUCUCUUCUAACUUACAUCCAAGGAGAAGAGAAACUGAAGUAGUGACUAAAUCCCUGUCUCCCAAGGGUACAUAAGUGAAAUAUGUUGGCUGGGAGUUUAUUGUCUCACUACGUAUAUUCCCCCCCAACUGACUGAUUACUUUAGGAAUAUAACAUCUGGAAAUAAACUUCAUAAAAUUUAUCUUUCUAUUUAAUCUUACUUAUCAAUGAACGUUCUUGUGUACUUGUAAUAUAUAUAUAUAUAUUUAUAUACACACAUGCCAGCAUGGAAAGCGGACAUUAAAUGAUGAUGAUGAUGAUUCUUUGUAUAAGCGAUUAGUUAUAAAGUUGUUAUAUCCUACUGCAUAGAUAAUAGUCCUGAAGCUGUGUGUGUGUGUGUGUGUGUGUGUGUGUUUGUUUUUUUGGUCAUUUGUUUUACAUCUGGAUUCGUAUGGUGGCAGAGGUUGGAUGGAUACUUAUUUCAGACAGUAUUUUGUAGCUAGAUACUCUUCUUGUCACCAACCUUUACCUGUUUUACAAGAAAGAUUUAUUUUAUUAUUUUUUUUUUUUGGGUGUGCAUGAUGUAAAUUUCAUUGGGAAUGUAAAUGGCAAACUAGUUUUAGUUCAGACAAUCCCAUAUGCAGAAAAAGUGGAAAUCUGAACUACAUGCAGACACACAGAUCAAAAGACAGUGUCUUGUUUGCACAUAUCAUUUUUAUUUGGUUUCUACAUUUGGAUGCCCUUCUUAACACUAACACACAUGCACACACGCACCAUAUCUAUGCAUGCCAACACACACCCACACACGUUUAGGUUAAAGCAUGGCUGAAUAGUAUAGUUAACAAGUCUGCUUUGCAGCUGUGAUUUCAGUUUCAGUCUCACUGUGGGGCAAUGGGCAAGUGCCUCUUGCUAAAGCCCUGGGUUGACUGAUGCUUUGUGAGUGAAUCUGAUAAGUGAAAACUGUACCAUGCCCGGCAUGGCCACAAUCAAAUGACUGAAACAAGUAAAAGAAUAAAAAAUUAUAUAUAUAUAUAUAUAGCGUUCGAGACAUACAGACUUCACGUCUGGCUGUACAGCCUUUUUGUUUGUUUAUUUCACCGUUUCGUUUUCCUGUCUUGUUUUCCGUCCGCCACUACCCUCCACGAAAACAUUUUAAUUUGUGUUCGUGAGAAGAACCAUUUUAACGAUGCGUACUGCCUUAAUUCUUCGAAACGCCGGAGUUUUAAUGGUGGCAGCUGAUGAAGGGGAUGUUUCUAUGUGGCCUGCUUGUUUGUUGCACCUUGUUUACCAUUUUUGUCUUUGUUCUUUUGCCACGUCAUGUACCCAGUUAUGUAUCUAUAUGUACAUGUGGAUGAACGUAUAUACAUACAUGUACAUAUAUAUGCAUAUACUCAUGUAUUGUUUAUAUAUAUAUAUAUAUAUAU